rnacentral:ncRNA from 1 species
CGUGUCUUUGCUAUGUUCGGAAGGAGCCCGACGAGACGCGCCGUACCGGGUGAAGGCAAAGACGACGCACC